CUUGCUAAGGCUGAUGGCGACCGGCGCACGGGUGAGUAACACGUAUCCAACCUGCCGAUAACUCGGGGAUAGCCUUUCGAAAGAAAGAUUAAUACCCGAUGGUAUAAUAAAACCGCAUGGUUUAAUUAUUAAAGAAUUUCGGUUAUCGAUGGGGAUGCGUUCCAUUAGGCAGUUGCGGGGUAACGGCCCACCAAGGCAACGAUCAGUAGGGGUUCUGAGAGGAAGGUCCCCCACAUUGGAACUGAGACACGGUCCAA
rnacentral:rRNA from 1 species